rnacentral:lncRNA from 1 species
UGACAGGGUCACAGUGAGAAAAAGUGCUGACAAAGCUGCUCUCCCACUGUCUUGACAGGGUCACAGUGAGGAUGAAUGCUGGCAAAGCCACGCUGGUUGGUGGGAAACCGAAACCAUGAGACCCUUUUUUAUGUAACUGGGACUUUUCAUUUUCAUGCUUAUGUUCCUGACAGGAGGCAUGAGUAUGUUAAAUGCCAAACAAAUGAAAUUUCAGAUGGCUAGAACAUAACAGGUAGUUCAUGCCUUGGAGGCUGUUCUACUACCCCUCAGCAUAUCAAGGACAAAGUAGAAGGCUGUUCUUCUAUCUCAGUACAUUGUGGACAAAUCUGAUAAUGGACAACAAUCAUCCUCUGAAAGGUCAUGAGAAUUUUAGGCACCACAUUGAUUAUAUCAACUAGAACCCAAGCCCAUAUUUCCGGCCUUUAAGAAAACCUAAUCAUUAUGCUUAUUUUACAAAGCUCACCACAUGUAGUCUCAUUGUUGAUUAAGGAAAGUUAUAUUAUACACUUAGGAAAGUUAAAACAUAUAAAGAUGUAUUCUUCUCUUUUUAUAAACCCUUUUUUACUUUACAUAAGGAUUUAUGAUGAGCAUAGUUAAUAUUGGUGGAAAGUGGAUUGAUGUUUAGAACUUACUUUCUAUUGAGAAAGAUUAUAAAGAUAUGAGAACUAGUGCACCUCGACUGAGAAACAAAGAAACUCUUUGAGAAAGCAAC